rnacentral:rRNA from 1 species
UACGUAGGCAGCAAGCGUUGUUCGGAAUUACUGGGCGUAAAGAGUGUGUAGGCGGUGCUCCAAGUCUGGUGUGAAAUCUCCCGGCUUAACUGGGAGGGUGCAUUAGAAACUGGAAUGCUAGAGGAUGGAAGAGGUAAGCGGAAUUCCUGGUGUAGCGGUGAAAUGCGUAGAUAUCAGGAGGAACACCUGUGGUGUAGACAGCUUACUGGACCAUUUCUGACGCUGAGACACGAAAGCGUGGGUAGCAAACAGG